rnacentral:lncRNA from 1 species
AAGAAAAGGCCACCAAUGAAAGGAGUGAUAACUGGGGAAGCAGUGAUAACGGAGUGAUAACGGAGUGAUAAGGAGUGAUAACUGGGGAAGCAGUAAAUAUAGAAGUUGACCAGCUGAGGGGAAAGAUUCCCGGUGUAAGUGAUGCUCGUCGUUUGAUGAGACGCAGACAGGGUGGCGAGACUCAGACAGGGUGGGGAGACUCAGACAGACAGGGUGGGGAGACUCAGACAGGGUGGGGAGAGUGGGGAAACUGAAGAGUCAUUGUCUGUUCUUUUGAGUUUUGAAGUUGAGUCUUUGCCCGACAAAGUGAAGUUAGGAUAUACAAGUUAUCCUGUACGAGAGUAUGUGCUGAAUACAUUACGAUGUUACAGAUGUCAAGCUUAUGGCCAUGUGGCAGCAGUGUGUAGGAGGGAGGUUCCUAGGUGUGAGAAGUGUGCAGAAGGGCAUGAAACAAAAUAAACCAAUAAAUAUAUUUACUCAUUGUAUUUUUUCCCCCAAGUAUCUUUCUCAACGGGUCUAUUGUCUCAUAUUUUAUUUUGUACUCUGUUUUUGUUCCUAAAAAAAUUCAUAAAAAUACAAUACCACUCAAUAGUGUUUCAGACAAAACCAAUGUUUAUGAAUGUGGUUAACUACGUGUUAGAAUGAACCGAAGGAGAUAGCUAGACACUUUGGGAGGAAACAGUUAUCAUUUGUCCAAAAGUUGAAAUGUUCUAGUAAAGCUCAAGUCACUGAAAGUUCAGAGAAGUGCACAGAAGUGUUUCAUAUCCCCCUCUCUCAAAAGCUAUAGGGGUAAAAGGUAUACUUUCAUAUCCCCCUCUCUCAAAAGCUAUAGGGGUAAAAGGUAUACUUUCAUAUCCCCCUCUCUCAAAAGCUAUAG